rnacentral:rRNA from 1 species
UACGUAGGUGGCAAGCGUUGUCCGGAUUUACUGGGCGUAAAGAGCGCGCAGGCGGCUGGUCAAGUCCGGUGUGAAAGCUCCCGGCUUAACUGGGAAACGGCAUCGGAAACUGAUCGGCUUGAAGGUGGGAGAGGGUAGUGGAAUUCCCGGUGUAGGGGUGAAAUGCGUAGAUAUCGGGAGGAACACCAGUGGCGAAGGCGACGACCUGGCCCACUCUUGACGCUGAGGCGCGAAAGCUAGGGGAGCAAACGGG